rnacentral:ncRNA from 1 species
CCCGCUGAAUUUAAGCAUAUUAGUCAGCGAAGGAAAAGAAACUAACCAGGAUUCCCUCCGUAAUGGCGAAUGAACAGGGAAGAAUCCCCACCACGUGGUGGGGCGCAGGCCAUGUGGCGUACAGAAGACCCACUCCCCGGUGCCGCUCUCGGUGGGGGCCCAAGUCCUUCUGAUCGAGGCACAGCCCGUGGAUGGUGUAAGGCCUGUAGCGGACCCCGGCACGCCGGGACCGGGUCUUCUUGGAGUCAGGUUGCUUGGGAAUGCAGCCCAAACCAGGUGGCAAACUCCAUCUAAGGCUAAAUACCGGCACGAGACCGAUAGUCAACAAGUACCGUAAGGGAAAGUUGAAAAGAACUUUGAAGAGAGAGUUCAAGAUGGCGACCCAGAUGGGACAAUGUUUUCCCAUUUCUGCUCCUUUUGCUCUGCAUCACUUCCUGGAGGUUGUUCCAGUCUCCGUGGAAUUCCUCCACUUUAUUAUUCCCUUGAGCACAAUAGUAUUCCAUCACCAACAUAUACCACAAUUUGUUCAGCCAUUCCCCAAAUGAAGGGCAUCCCCUCAUUUUCUAAUUUUUUGCCACCACAAAGAGCGCAGCUAUGAAUAUUCUUGUACAA